AUUGAACGCUGGCGGCAUGCUUUACACAUGCAAGUCGAACGGUAACAGGCCGCAAGGUGCUGACGAGUGGCGAACGGGUGAGUAAUGCAUCGGAACGUGCCCAGUCGUGGGGGAUAACGCAGCGAAAGCUGCGCUAAUACCGCAUACGAUCUAUGGAUGAAAGCGGGGGACCGUAAGGCCUCGCGCGAUUGGAGCGGCCGAUGUCAGAUUAGCUAGUUGGUGAGGUAAAGGCUCACCAAGGGGACGAUCGUUAACUGGUCUGAGAGGAUGAUCAGUCACACUGGAACUGAGACACGGUCCAGACUCCUACGGGAGGCAGCAGUGGGGAAUAUUGGACAAUGGGCGCAAGCCUGAUCCAGCCAUGCCGCGUGUGUGAAGAAGGCCUUCGGGUUGUAAAGCACUUUUGUUGGGAAAGAAAAGCGGUCGGUUAAUACCCGGUCGUUCUGACGGUACCCAAAGAAUAAGCACCGGCUAACUUCGUGCCAGCAGCCGCGGUAAUAC
rnacentral:rRNA from 1 species